UUUUUCUCCUAUUCUUUUCUCCUCUGGUUUUUUUUGCUGUACACGACGAUUAACAAGUGCAAGUCAACAAAUAUCAAUUGCUAAAUCACCAAUAUGAAAAAAUUUUACAAACCAAUUCCUAAACCAACGCCACACUCCAAUAUCGAUGAUCAACCACGGGAUCCAGCUAACACCAAUGUUGAUGAUCAACCACUGGAUCCAGCUAACACCAAUGUCGAUGAUCAACCAUUGGAUCCAGAUAACACCAAUGUCGAUGAUCUGCCUUGGGAUCCAGCUAAGAGAAAAGAGAUAGUGAGUUAUCAUCCGAAUCAAAGAGACGAGGUAAGACGCAAAUAUCUUGUUAGAGGUCCAUGUCAACCUUCUGGUCAUUCUUUUAAAAGAACAAAGAUGAGUAAUGCAACAAGACGAUUUAAUCCAGCUUGGUUUGAAAAAUACGGUACUUGGCUAGAGUAUAGUGUAUCAACAGACAGAGCUUUUUGUUUGUGUUGCUACUUAUUUAAAGGUGACGGACGGAACCAAGGUGAGAGUGAUGCAUUUGUGAAAGAAGGGUUUUGUCUCUGGAAUAAGCCUGAAAGGUUAGAAACUCACAUAGGCGGAAACUCAAUAUGAAAGGUGAAUUUAAUGGCUUGAGAGCAUUGGUUGUUAGAGAAAACAAUGCAGCAUAUUAUGUUCAUUGUUUUGCUCAUCAACUUCAGUUGGUGGUGGUGGCAAUCGCAAAAAAACACUUUGAGGUUGGUGAUUUUUUUGAUAUGAUUUCUACAUUGGUGAAUGUGGUUGGAGCUUCUUGUAAAAGACAAGACAUGAUUCGAGAAACUUAUCGAAAAAAGGUGCAGGAAGGAAUUAGUAGUGGUGAGAUUAACACGGGUACUGGAUUAAAUCAAGAAAUUUCGCUACAAAGACCUGGAAAUACUCGUUGGGGUUCUCAUCAGAGAACAUUGCAAAGGUUAGUUGAGUUGUUUUCUUCUAUCAUUGAAGUUCUUGAGUAUAUCCAAAAUGAAGGCGUCGAAGACUCUAAAAAACGUCAAGCAUAUGGUCUUCUCAAGUACUUUCACACUUUUGAUUGUGUGUUCUAUAUGCAACUUAUGCUACUUAUUUUGGGAUUAACUGAGAAUUUGUCAAUGGCUUUGCAAAGGAAAGACCAAGAUAUUUUGAAUGCCAUGUCAUUGGUGGAAUCUACUAAGAGAGAAUUACAGAAGCUUAGAGAUGAUGGAUGGGAUUCACUUAUGAAUAAAGUUUCAUCUUUUUGUGAGAAACAUAAUGCUGAACUGCUUGUCAUGUAAGACGUUUUUGUAGAUCCAAGGAAACCAAGAAGAAAAACCAAUAUAACCAACCUACAUCAUUAUAAGGUUAACUGCUUCUACACUAUUAUAGAUUUACAGCUUCAGGAGUUCAAUGAUCGUUUUACGGAGAUGACUUCAGCUAUGGGGAGGUUUUGUCUCUUGAGCAGCAUCUUGAUAUCUACAUUGACAAUGUGAGCAGAGAUGAACGAUUUAAGAGUCUGAAAAGUCUUGGAGAGCUUUCCCGUUUGAUGGUGAAAACCCAAAAACAUCUUGCACAUCCCUUGGUUUAUAGGCUUUUGAAAUUAGUUCUAACUUUACCAGUUGCUACAGCAAGUGUUGAGAGAUGUUUUUCUGCAAUGAAAUUGGUGAAUACAGCUGCACGGAAUAGAAUUGGAGACCAAUUUCUAAGUGAUUGUCUUGUUUGCUAUAUUGAAAAAGAAUUAUUUGAAGCGGUCACAAAUGAAAAUGUGAUAAAAAGGUUUCAAUUGUUAAAUGAG